UUCACUUUACCUAUUUAUGGGUACUUGAUUCACCCAUAUUUGGGUACACCAUUGUUAUGGGUGAAACAUACCGAUAAAAUCAGUAAAGUUCACUUAUAAUGUUGGUGAAACAGCUUUACCUAUAUAUGGGUAAAUUAAUUUACCCAUAUUUGGAUGAAAAACUAAACAUUUGGUUUUGUUCAUAUCACAGAAAAGGUUGGUCGCUAUCGAGGUCGCUAUGAGGAAAGCAAAGCAUAAAGUUGUAGGUAAAUCAACUCGCGGAUAGCUAAUGAAGCUGCAGAUCCUGGAUACGGAGCCUAAAAAUGCGGAAACCACGGCUUAACAGUUACCACUGCUUUGACCAUAGCGGUCAUAUAUACAAGCAGAUUAAGCAACAAUCGUGGAGCCAGAUACCAUUCAACGCUGGAAUCAUCGGUCGACCUUCGCAAGGAAAUAGAAAAUCGCUAUCUCUCAUAUGAUUAAUAUCCGACGGCGUAGUCUCCGGUAUCCACUGUGAAUAACAGGAAGUAAUCAGAUGAGUAGCCGAAUACCAUCUACCAUUACAAUCGCCGGUCGAUCUCCACAAGGAAGCAGGGAUCUCAUAUGCUGCAUGUCCAACAAUACGCCAACGACGGCUUAGCCUCCGGCACCCGUGGAUACUGUGCAAGGCUCGAACAGGAAAUAAUUAGAUGCGUCUCUUAUUGAUAACUGCCCAACGCAAUGGUUUCCAGUGCCUUUCAGAGUACUCUUCCAUAAUUAGAAUAAAUUGUAUUUAUAAGCUUUGAAGAACAUUAAAAUAAAUUUAA